rfam:Oryza glaberrima chromosome 3 Oglab03_0017_10, whole genome shotgun sequence.
AAAAAGACAAACCCUGAGUUUUCGUGUCCAACGUUUGACUGUUCGUUUUAUAUAAAUUUUUUUUAUAAUUAGUAUUUUCAUUGUUGUUAGAUGAUAAAACAUGUUUAAUAUUUUAUGCGUGACUUGUCUUUUUAAUUUUUUCAUAUUUUUUUCAAAUAAGACGGACGGUCAAACGUUGAACAUGGAAACCCAGGUUUGUUUUUUUU